rnacentral:rRNA from 1 species
GUGGGCCCUCGAAAUCCUGUGGCGGGAGGAUUCAGUCGGAAGGCGUAGGCGGCACGGCCGAUGUGAUUUAGGUUCCGCUCACGGACCCUUUCGGCAGGUCGCUCUUUUGCUUGUACGACGCAUUUGAUUCCCGUCCGAAGGACGCCGCAACCGGUUGGGAGACGGCCUGAAAGCUCUGCGAUGACAGGUGGCCGGAUUGGACCCUCGGGUCUUCUCCGGUGACUGGUCGGCGGAGCGACGGCACGUAGCCCGACCGUGGUGUCGCAAGGCCCAACUUAGGGCUCUACCGUCUCCUCCUUUGCGUGACGCCGGACUGGUGGCAGCAGUGGAUGUCGGACUGCGGGCGCACGGACCCACUCCGUGGCCUGGCGGUCGAGAGUCCUCGGUGGCUGUCCGUGAUCCGUAGGAGGCUGACGGUUGGCGGCGAGUAGAUCGGUCACCCACCCGACCCGUCUUGAAACACGGACCAAGGAGUCUAACAUGUGUGCGAGUCAAUGGGUCUCGAAUAAGCCCAGAGGCGCAAUGAAAGCAAAGGUCGGACUCGACGCCGACUGAGUUGGGAUCCCUGGCCUUCGGGUCGGGGCGCACCAACGACCCGUCCUCUCCGACUUGUCGGUUGGGCGGAGUUGGAGCAUACACGUUGGGACCCGAAAGAUGGUGAACUAU